rnacentral:rRNA from 1 species
GGUGAACGCUGGCGGCGUGCCUAACACAUGCAAGUCGAGCGGGUACCCGCAAGGGUACCAGCGGCGCACGGGUGAGUAACACGUGGGUAAUCUACCCCUCGGAGGGGGAUAACCGGGGGAAACUCCGGCUAAUACCCCAUACGAUCCAACAACACAAGUUGUUGGAUGAAAGGAGCGUUUGCUCCGCCGAGGGAUGAGCCCGCGGCCCAUCAGGUAGUUGGUGGGGUAAUGGCCCACCAAGCCUACGACGGGUAGCCGGCCUGAGAGGGUGGUCGGCCACAAGGGCACUGAGACACGGGCCCUACUCCUACGGGAGGCAGCAGCGGGGAAUCUUGGACAAUGGGCGAAAGCCUGAUCCAGCGACGCCGCGUGGGGGAUGAAGCCCUUCGGGGUGUAAACCCCUGUUGCGAGGGAGGAAUAAGGCCUGGAGGAAAUGCCAGGCCGAUGACUGUACCUCGCGAGGAAGCCCCGGCUAACUACGUGCCACCAGCCGCGGUAAUACGUAGGGGGCGAGCGUUACCCGGAUUCACUGGGCGUAAAGCGGGUGUAGGCGGCUCGGUAAGUCGGGUGUGAAAUCCCACAGCUCAACUGUGGAAUUGCGCCCGAAACUGCUGAGCUUGGGGCCGGUACAGGGAGACCGAACUGCCGGUGUAAGGGUGAAAUCCGCAGAUAUCCGCAGGAAUCCCGGUGGAGAAGCCGGUCUCCUGGGCCAUGCCCGACG